CUACGGGUGGCAGCAGUGGGGAAUAUUGGACAAUGGGCGAAAGCCUGAUCCAGCCAUGCCGCGUGUGUGAAGAAGGCCUUCGGGUUGUAAAGCACUUUCAGUGGGGAAGAAAGCCUUGGGGCUAAUACCCUCGAGGAAGGACAUCACCCACAGAAGAAGCACCGGCUAACUCCGUGCCAGCAGCCGCGGUAAUACGGAGGGUGCGAGCGUUAAUCGGAAUUACUGGGCGUAAAGCGCGCGUAGGCGGUCUGAUAAGCCGGUUGUGAAAGCCCCGGGCUCAACCUGGGAACGGCAUCCGGAACUGGCAGGCUAGAGUGCAGGAGAGGAAGGUAGAAUUCCCGGUGUAGCGGUGAAAUGCGUAGAGAUCGGGAGGAAUACCAGUGGCGAAGGCGGCCUUCUGGACUGACACUGACGCUGAGGUGCGAAAGCGUGGGUAGCAAACAGGAUUAGAUACCCCGGUAGUC
rnacentral:rRNA from 1 species